GAUAACCAGGUCAUUCUCGAAGGUCCCUUUUUUUUUUCUUUUUUUUUUUUUUUUUUU
rnacentral:ribozyme from 15 species